rnacentral:rRNA from 1 species
GACGAACGCUGGCGGCGUGCCUAAUACAUGCAAGUAGAACGCUGAAGGGGGAGCUUGCUUCUCUGGAUGAGUUGCGAACGGGUGAGUAACGCGUAGGUAACCUGCCUGGUAGCGGGGAUAACUAUUUGAAACGAUAGCUAAUACCGCAUAAGAGUAGAUGUCGCAUGACAUUUGCUUAAAAGGUGCAAUUGCAUCACUACCAGAUGGACCUGCGUUGUAUUAGCUAGUUGGUGAGGUAACGGCUCACCAAGGCAACGAUACAUAGCCGACCUGAGAGGGUGGUCGGCCACACUGGGACUGGGACACGGCCCAGACUCCUACGGGGGGCAGCAGUAGGGAAUCUUCGGCAAUGGACGGAAGUCUGACCGGGCAACGCCGCGUGAGUGAAGGAGGUUUUCGGAUCGUAAAGCUCUGUUGUAUGAGAAGAACGAGUGUGAGAAUGGAAAGUUCACACUGUGACGGUAUCUUACCAGAAAGGGACGGCUAACUACGUG